GCAUGCCUAAUACAUGCAAGUCGAACGAGAUCUUCGGAUCUAGUGGCGCACGGGUGCGUAACGCGUGGGAAUCUGCCCUUGGGUUCGGAAUAACAUCUGGAAACGGAUGCUAAUACCGGAUGAUGACGUAAGUCCAAAGAUUUAUCGCCCAAGGAUGAGCCCGCGUAGGAUUAGCUAGUUGGUGAGGUAAAGGCUCACCAAGGCUACGAUCCUUAGCUGGUCUGAGAGGAUGAUCAGCCACACUGGGACUGAGACACGGCCCAGACUCCUACGGGAGGCAGCAGUAGGGAAUAUUGGACAAUGGGGGCAACCCUGAUCCAGCAAUGCCGCGUGAGUGAUGAAGGCCUUAGGGUUGUAAAGCUCUUUUACCCGAGAUGAUAAUGACAGUAUCGGGAGAAUAAGCUCCGGCUAACUCCGUGCCAGCAGCCGCGGUAAUACGGAGGGAGCUAGCGUUGUUCGGAAUUACUGGGCGUAAAGCGCACGUAGGCGGUUAUUUAAGUCAGAGGUGAAAGCCCGGGGCUCAACCCCGGAACUGCCUUUGAGACUGGAUAACUUGAAUCCAGGAGAGGUGAGUGGAAUUCCGAGUGUAGAGGUGAAAUUCGUAGAUAUUCGGAAGAACACCAGUGGCGAAGGCGGCUCACUGGACUGGUAUUGACGC
rnacentral:rRNA from 1 species